GUGACCUCAAAUCAGGUAGGACUCCCCGCUGAACUUAAGCAUAUCAAUAAGCGGAGGAAAAGAAACUAACAAGGAUUCCCCUAGUAACUGCGAGUGAAGCGGGAAAAGCUCAAAUUUAAAAUCUGGCAGUCUCUGGCUGUCCGAGUUGUAAUCUAGAGAAGUGUUAUCCGCGCUGGACCGUGUACAAGUCUCCUGGAAUGGAGCGUCAUAGAGGGUGAGAAUCCCGUCUUUGACACGGACUGCCAGGGCUUUGUGAUGCGCUCUCAAAGAGUCGAGUUGUUUGGGAAUGCAGCUCAAAAUGGGUGGUAAAUUCCAUCUAAAGCUAAAUAUUGGCGAGAGACCGAUAGCGAACAAGUACCGUGAGGGAAAGAUGAAAAGAACUUUGGAAAGAGAGUUAAACAGUACGUGAAAUUGCUGAAAGGGAAACGCUUGAAGUCAGUCGCGUUGGCCAGGGAUCAACCUUGCUUUUGCUUGGUGCACUUUCUGGUUGAUGGGUCAGCAUCAAUUUUGACUAUUGGAAAAAGGUCAAGGGAAUGUGGCAUCUUCGGAUGUGUUAUAGCCCUUAGCUGCAUACAAUGGUUGGGAUUGAGGAACUCA
rnacentral:rRNA from 2 species